rnacentral:pre_miRNA from 11 species
GUCUAGGACCCCUGGGUGGUUGCACAAAUCCCAGACGAGCCCCCAAAUGAAAGACCCCGAAGGGAGACCCUCGCUCAGAUCUCGGGAAUAGCACACACCCAGUGAGGCACCAAGACCG